GACCAUUGAAGAACAAUUGAACCAAGUUUCUGAUACUUUUAAACGGAACUUGGAAAAGGUAAAAGACAACUUGACUACUUGGCUUAAAAUUCCUCAGCAAAAGUUAAGUGUUCUUCUAGAACAUCAAUUUAUUCCUUCAAGAGUUGUGUAGUUGGACUAUUAGGAGUUCUUGGAGAACAAAGCCCUUGUUCUCAAGUCACUUAUUGAAGACAUUGAUGAUGCUAUGAGGCUGCGAAUGGAAGUUUUUCAGGAUAUGAUCUCUCAUUGUGAGAAAGCUUCUUGCAACAUCAUGGAUCAUGAUGGGGAAUUAUUGGCAGAAGAAAAGGUUCUCUCAGAUCUACAGUUGAAGAUACGUCAAGAGUGGAAAAGUGAACCAUUUUCAGCAGCAUCCAUUCAAGCCUUAGUGACUUAUCAAGCUUACUUGUGGGAAAUCCAGUUUUCUUUUGAGAGAAAUAAUGCCACAAUCCUUCAUUGCAGUGAUGUUAUCGUGAAAACCAUGAUCGUGCCCAAAAAUACCAAUGAACCGGAUCUUGAUGAGCUGCAAAUGAUCAUCCAGAAGUUCGAAGAAUUCAUGUCUUCUCACAAUGCAACUUAAGUGUUUUUCAACACUUAGUUGCAUUUUUCCAGAAUUGUAAUCUCUUAGUUGUAGUUUCUCUUUUGACAAGUUACAUGUAAAAACAUUUUUGCAAGUCAAGUCUUUACUUGCACUUUUUUAAUUACAUGUAAAGCAACUACAAGUUGUGUUUAAUUAGGACUGUAGUAGGAAUAAGUCAAUAGUUAGUUAUUGAAUAAGUCUCGGUGGUUGAGAGAAUCUCUCAAGUUAGUUAGGAUACUCCCACCAUUUUCUCAAGACUCCUCGUCUAUAAAUACUUUAGGGGUCUAUGUAAUCGAUAUCUUUUGGAAAGCAAGCAAAAACUCUGCCAAAUUGUAGCAAAGAAGUCUUUGAGCUUGUUGGCAUUGUGUUGUCAUUGAUGUCAAUUGGUAUAGGAUGUUAUCGGUAUCAUUGACAUUGAUGUCAACUUGUGAACAAAAGGCUGUUGGCAUUAGAGUUUGGUGUCACCGGAAAUGGAAGAUGGACCGGCAUGGGAGAAGAAAUGAUGUGAUGUCAUUGGUGACAACCUGGUAAUCAUCUUCAUGGAGAAGGAAGAACCGACAUGUAUCGGUAUGCUAGAGGUGCAGUAAAGUGACCACUCCACUCAGUAAAAGGGUUGUUGAUAUGGUGGUGCAUACAACCGGAAUGGAGAGACUACAUGAUGGACAUUGAUUGUGUUGUAGUGCUGGAAUGCUAUUUGGAUCACAUCAACACCGAAGGUGAAGUAAGAGCAGGCCACCAGAUUGCUAGUGUAAGGCUUACUAGCAAGACUCCCACCGGAUGAAGAUGCUGUCACAGGCUAGGUGAUAGGUUGACGGAGUAUGUUGCCUCUGUGUGCAGGAUGACAUAUGGAAAACCACCGGGACAUAUCAUGUUGAAGAUGUAUUCUCCCCUCGGUAAUGUCACACUUGUACCGACAUAAUGAUUCCCUGAGAUAGACAGGUGAUUGAAUGCAGAGACCGGAUGUACAAGUGGAAGAUGAGGAAGCCUCCAGAGCAUGAGAUAAAAAAUGCACACCGGAUAAGCAAGUGAAAACAAGGUGUGCUACUGGGACAUUGAAGGAAGAAUGAGAUGUUGAGAUGGUGUGUUCGUCAUCUUAACAAACCAGUCGAGAGGAGAACCGGUUUGAUGAAGAAGGAUGCUAGUGAGUCUGUAGGAAUAUACAUGGUGAUACUGGGAUGCUCAAGGAAGGUUGAUGUAGAACAAUUGGAGUGUGAUGACUUGGUGUCAUCAAUGUGUUUCAUCGGCAAGAAGGAAAGUUGUUGUCCACCGACAGACACAUCUACCGGAAUCUGCAUUGGUGAUAGUUGACAUGUUAUGUCAACCGGUUAAACAUCAAAGAAGAGACAAGGAAGAUAAGGUUCUCACUUGAUAAAGAGGAGUGCAGUGAACUGAAGGAUAAGGAGAGUUGUCGAUAGUUGCUAUGGUGUCGGCAAGUGAACAUAUUCACAGAGGUGUUUCAUCGACAGAGCAGUGAAGUGCAGACAUAAGGGUUACACCGACAAUAUAGAAAAGGGUGAUGGUAGGAAGGAUAAUUGGCAAGGUUAUUUGUCCCGGUAGGGUCAGUGACCCGAUAUGUGUGGACCGGUUAUGUGGGUGGUCCGUGAUUAAGUUGAACCGACAGAGCAGUGUGCCAAGGUGGAUAUCGACAGUAAUACCACGUAGAAGUGAAGUGGUGAACUUGCACAAGUCGGUGUCGAGUGACGAUGAAGUAGUUGGCUGUUGGUCCAACAUCUAUGGUGACUGCGAAGCUCGAAGGAUGUUUGUAGAGGGGUUGCGGCUCGAGGCAGGAUGAAAUUGGACCAUAUCCAUGGCAUGCACUGAUCGAUGCAGAUUGUUUGGAUGAAGAUCGAAGUUGUUGAAGCAAUCCAUCGAGCCAUUAAUGGUGAUUGACCAAGGGGUGUGCCGACAGAUUGAUUGCAAGUUGUUGAAAUAGGAAGGCGUGUUUUGGAAGGCAUGAAAAUGCUGGAUAUGUGCAGGCAGUCAUCUUUGAGUUGUGAUCCGAUCAGAUUUGAUUAAAUUCGAUGUGCCUCGUGAUCAGUGGAGAAAACCCUACCUGCUUGUGAUUUGAUUUGAAUUGGUUUUUGGUGGGAAGACUGGGCUAUAAAUAUGCAAGCUAAAGAUGUUGUUAACAAUUGCUGAACAGAAGAAGAUAGAGCUGUUGCAUGUGAGAGCAGAUCAGUCAAGUGCUCAUCAAGGAGAUAGAGAAGAGACUGAGCGUGAGGGAGAAGGAGGUUGAAGUGUUCAACUGGUAGAAGUGCAGAACCGGUAGUGUCCAUACCGACAGAGAAGAAGAAAAGGUAACUGCAGAUAAGGCAGGCAUAGGACCGACUGAGUGUGGUGCCGGUGGAGAGCACCAGAGUAGCUAAAAGAAGUGAAAAUCGACAGAGAGAGGUGAAUCGGUAAAGCAACAGCAACAGAGAGAGAGGUGUACCGGUGUAGUAGAGGUGGUGUCUCACCGAUAGAAUAAGGUAAAUGAAAUGGUUACAAUAUUCACUUGUAACAGAAUAACUACUUUUGUAUUUUAUGCUAUCAUUGUGAUCACUGAGUUGUAGCUCGGUGCAGGGGUUGUAGCUCCUUUGGGUUGUUGCCCAUAAACAAGUCAGGUGUUGGUGCUCCUUGGGUUGGUGCCCUAAAUCAGGGGUUGUAGCUCCUUGGGUUGUAGCCCUAAACAUUGUAACAGAGUUUCAUUGUGAGGCUGGAUUGGAGCAGUAGACUCCAGCAACAUUGCUCACCGAGGUUUUUCCCAUCUUGGGUUUUCCUCGUACAUGCUGGUGUUAUGUGAUGUUCCUUUGUGUGUGAUUGCAUUUGUGUUGGUCUCCUCACUAACCUAUAUGUCUACAUUGAGUUAGAUUUGUGAACCGGUAUACUUUCAUAAGAUAGUAAAAGGGAAAAGAUUGAGAUCCAUUGAUUCACCCCCCCACUCAAUGGUGCAUUGUGUCUAACAAUUGGUAUCAGAGCCUAGGUACCCUGUUUUUCUUGCUUUCUCUAGCUUGGGUAGAUCCUGUCUUGGACACAAUGGUUAAGUGUGAGCCAAUCCCUACUCCUGUGUUUAAUGGAUCAAACUAUGUCCUUUGGAGUUGUCGAAUGGAAGUCUACCUGUCCUGCCUAGGUUAUGAUGUCUGGAUGGCGGUUGUUAAUGGUCUCCCUAGGAAUGUUUGUCCUCCCACCGGCUGUAAAGAAGAAAGAAGAUGCAUGUGCAAUGAAGAAGUCAUGAAGGCUCUAUUCAGUGGGCUCACCGGUGAUGUCUCCUCACAGGUGGAUAAGUGCAGAUUGGUAAAAAGUCUAUGGGAUAGACUAAAGAAACUUAAUGGAAAUGAGCCAUGCACUGCUGAAUCCUAUUGUGGAAGCAUGAAGAACAACAAAGUAGACACAUGUGGAAGUGUUGAUAGCAGAUCAAUCAACUGCUGCAGUUUUGAUGAAGAGGAAACCCAUCUCUUCAUGGCCCAUGAGACAGACAUUGAGAAUCACACAUCAAAAGGGGAUAAUGCAGAUAGAUCCCACCAAUAUGAUGUGUUUAGCAGCGACAAUGAAGAAGAUGAAAAGGGAGGGGACAAGGUAGAUGGAUCUAGCCGGCAAGAUCUAUUUGGAAGUGAUGAAGAAGAAGAAGAAGAUGCAGAAAUUGAUCUAGAAGGUGAGUUGCUAAGUGCUCUUGAUGAACUGAAAAAUGUUAGAAAUGAACUUAAGGAUUACAAGAAUUCAGUUCAUGAAGAAUGCAAUCAGUUGAGAACCUGCCUUGAAGAUUCAAACAAAAAGGUCAGUUUAUUAACCACUCAACUAGAUGAGGCAAAAAGAAUGGUAGAUGAUUUGAAGUCUAUCUUGGAUGCCAAGGAGAGAAGAUGUGAGGAGUUGCUACUAGACAUGAAGUCUAGGGACAAAGGAUGUUUGGACCUGAAAAGUGAAAUGGAGAAUCUUAGAAAUGAAUACAAGUUGUUUAAGAAUGCUACGGUUGUUGUGCAAAACCGGUUGAUCAGAUGUCUUGAAGAUUCUGAGAAAUGUAUCUCAGUGUUGAAGACUUAUCAAGAUGACACCAUGAAAUUCAGGUGCAAUGAUUUAGAGUCAGAGCUGGAUGCCCAAAAAAAAAUAUGUGAGAUGCUGCAGCAAAAAAUGGAGACUAAAGGAAGUGAGUGUCCAAAUCUUAAGGAUGAAGUUACAACACUCACUUUAGAACUUGAAAAGUGCCAAAAUGAGCUCAAACUGAGAAAGAAGUAUGAUGGUGGCACUGAAGCCUUGGAUAAGAUGUUGAGCCAGCAGAAACAUUCCAAGGAUAAUGGAGGAGUAGGAUGUGGUACCGGUGAAUGCUCUACAAGCAAGGAGACCUCCCAUAAAGAUAUUCAAUUUGUCUCCUCAAAUGGAAAUGGAAAGGGUCAGACCUUCACUGUCAAAAAUGCUCCAAAGAAAAGAAUAGAUCCGACUACAACCGGUGAGGACAUGACGCUGAGGAUGAAGAAUGGUGCUGCAUGGAGGAACAAUGUAGAUCUGAAAGGAAAAAGGAAAAUUGGAGAAGAUAGCUUCACCGGAUGCAAGAACAUGAGAAGGCAGCUGGGAAGGCCUUCCACCAGUAGAAGGCAAGGAGGUGCUGCUGCCCACACAUCAUGUCAAGUGUGGAAGAAGAAGGGAUCUGACGGAAGACCUGCAGAGAAUGGACAAUCCUGGAUCCAUUCUCGGAGAAGCAUAAAUGUUGAUGCCAAACCGGUAAGAUCACCUCACGUUUGGCAGGAUAAAUUUGUAAGUAUUAAAUUUCGUCUCUUCGGUUAUUGCUUUGCAUGUAAUGGCUAUGGCCAUAGGGCAGAAGAAUGUAAAAUGAGGUCUAGGAAUAGACAAAGUGUUCUUCCUAGAAAUAUUAAAUCAGGUGGCUAUAGAUUUCAUGCAUAUAAGCAGAAAGUUUCACAGAGUAGAAACAUGCAUGUUCCCUUUCCCGGCUAUGCUAACAAGAAUCCUUGCAUUGCUCCUAAAAAUGUAAACAUUGUGUGUUAUAACUGCAAUGGAUUAGGACAUAGAAGUUAUGAAUGCAGGAAGAAGAAUAUGCAUUCCUAUGGCAACCGGUGGAUCAAUCAUGCUCAGUGUGAAAGUAGUUACAGGGGAUAUGAGCAACAUAGACCUGCUUGGAACAAAAGGAGAAGUGCUCAUAUACAAUCAAGGGAUUCAAGGAAACCCGUAACCGACCACAAUGGCAUGAUCAGAAAAGGAAGAGCAAACUGGUAUGUUAGAAGGUUCCCCAAUCAUGAGAUUGGCAUGGACGUUGUAUGCUACUAUAGCACUGCCUGCAGAGAGAGGACCAAUGAGGCGAAGAAGGUUAACACUGCUCCCAAGACUGCAGAUGUGGACAGGAAAGAAAUCAAGUAGACAUGGAGGAAGAAGCCGGAAGAUAAGAGCAUGGACCGGCAUUGUGCAUUCAAUGCACAGGUGAUGUCUCCUAUGGCUUAAAGGAGAUGUAGGACUCAGGGGGAGUUACAUAUUGACCAGUUCAUUCACCCCUUAGUUGAAAGUGGACAAGGAGAUGAACAUGCUGCUACUGGUAAGAGGAAGAAAAUGAGAUGGCAGUGUGUGUGUAGUUACCGCCUUGACUACACAAUGAAGAUGGAUUAUUGCUACAGGUGAAGUGAAUGGUAGCAGAGGUUAUUGGAACCGGGAGAUGAAGGUAAAGAGAAAAGUGUCCCGGUAGAGAUAAGAGACCGGUAUGUGCAGCAUGUUACCGACACGGAUGUUGAUCAAUGUUGCAGCUUAUGUAAGUCAAGGAGUUGAGGGAUCACUGCAAUAACUCUGGUAGCUUGGAUGGACGUGGUUAUGUCUCAGGUGAUAUUGGAAAGGACCUGAAUGACACUUAUUGGUCUGAUAGCUGAUCUUAUGAGCAUACAUAUUUAUGGGUCAACCAGUUGGAUACAUGACCUGCAGUUGGCAUUGUGGUCAUGAUGGUAGAUGUUACAGGUAUUGUGGUGGGUCCCGGUUUAGGACUUGACUGAAUUGAUGAAGUUCAGAGAUUUGUGUUUUAGGGAGGUUCACGACCAUACUUCAGAUUAAUAUCAGAUAUACUGAACAUACAAGCAGAUCAAGUAGAUGCUUGAUAAUACUGGAAAAGAAAUUGCUCAUUUGACUAUCGGUCAUCAGUUGAAAGUAAGAGAAGUCUGGCAAACCGGUAGGACCACAUGCACAAGAGAAGAAAUUCAUUCCUCGACUGGUUCUGAGCAAAAGGAGGAGAGAGAGACCGGUGUAUGCUGUUAAGGGUUGUUUGGUACCUGAGCUUUCCAUCUCAAGUGUUGAUGAUUCAGAUGGUGUUGUGCAUAAUCUUCAAAGGGGGAGAUGCACCUAGUAAAAAGUGGGAGGAAGAUUUCUGUCAGUGCCCGGUAGAUACAAGGAAGAAUGUUAUCCUGAUAGUGCCCUUUGCCAUUGUUGUCAAAGGGGGAGAAAGUUACUGUAGUAUAUCGGUUACUACAUGUGUUGACAGCAAUGCCAAAGGGCGAGAUUGUUGGCAUUGUGUUGUCAUUGAUGUCAACCGGCAUAGGAUGUUACCGGUAUCACUAACAUUGAUGUCAAUUUGUGAACAAGAGGCUGUUCACAUUAGAGUUUGGUGUCAACCGAAAUGGAAGAUGGACCGACAUGGGAGAAGAAAUGAUGUGAUGUCAUUGGUGACAACUUGGUAAUCAUCUUCAUGCAGAAGGAAGAACCGACAUGUACUGGUAUGCUAGAGGUGCAGUAAAGUGACCACUCCACUCAGUAAAAGGGUUGUUGAUAUGGUGGUGCAUACAACUGGAAUGCAGAGACUACAUGAUGGACAUUGAUUGUGCUGGAACGGUGGAAUGCUAUUUGGAUCAUAUCAACACCGAAGGUGAAGUAAGAGCAAGCCACCGGAUUGCUAGUGUAAGGCUAACUAGCAAGACUCCCACCGGAUGAAGAUGCUGUCACAGGCUAGGUGAUAGGUUGACAGAGUAUGUUGCCUCUGUGUGCAGGAUGACAUAUGGAAAACCACCGGGACAUAUGUCAUGUUGAAGAUGUAUUCUCCCCUCGGUAAUGUCACACUUGUAUCGGCAGAAUGAUUCCCUGAGAUAGACAGGUGAUUGAAUGUAGAGACUGGAUGUACAAGUGGAAGAUGAGGAAGCCUCUAGAGCAUGAGAUCAAAAAUGCACACCGGAUAAGCAAGUGAAAACAAGGUGUGCUACUGGGACAUUGAAGGAAGAAUGAGAUGUUGAGAUGGUGUGUUUGUCGUCUUAACAAACCAGUCGAGAGGAGAACCGGUUUGAUGAAGAAGGAUGCUAGUGAGUCUGCAGGAAUAUACAUGGUGAUAUCGGGAUGCUGAAGGAAGGUUGAUGCAGAACAAUUGGAGUGUGAUGACUUGGUGUCAUCAAUGUGUCUCACUAGCAAGAAGGAAAGUAUGUUGUCCACCGGCAGACACAUCUACCAGAAUCUGCAUUGGUGAUAGUUGACAUGUUAUGUCAACCGGUGAAACAUCAGAGAAGACACAAGGAAGAUAAGGUUCUCACCUGAUAAAGAGGAGUGCAGCAAACUGAAGGAUAAGGAGAGUUGUUGGUAGUUGCUAUGGUGCUGGCAAGUGAACAUAUUCGCAGAGGUGUUUUAUUGGCAGAGCAGUGAAGUGCAGACAUAAGGGUUACACCGGCAAUAUAGAAAAGGGUGAUGGUAGGAAGGAUAAUUGGCAAGGUUAUUUGUGCCGGUAGGGUCAGUGACCCGAUAUGUGUGGACUGGUUAUGUGGGUGGUCCGUGAUUAAGUUGAACCGAUAGAGCAGUGUGCCAAGGUGGAUAUCGACAGUAAUGCCAUGUAGAAGUGAAGUGGCGAACUUGCACAGGUUGGUGUAGAGUGACGAUGAAGUAGUUGGCAGUUGGUCCAACAUUUAUGGUGAAUGUGAAGCUCGAGGGAUGUUUGUAGAGGGGUUGCGGCUCAAGGCAGGAUGAAAUCGGACCAUAUCCAUGGCAUGCACUAAUCGAUGGAGAUUGUCUGGAUGAAGAUCGAAGUUGUUGAAGCAAUCCAUCAAGCCAUUAAUGGUGAUUGACUAAGGGGUGUGCCGACAGAUUGAUUGCAGGUUGUUGAAAUAGGAAGGCAUGUUCUGGAAGGUACGAAAAUGCCGGUUAUGUGCAGGCAUACAUCUCUGAGUUGUGAUCUAAUCAGAUUUGAUUAAGUUCUAUGUGCCUCAUGAUCAGUGGAGAAAACCCUAACUGCUUGUGAUUUGAUUUGAAUUGGUUUUUGGCGAGAAGACUGGGCUAUAAAUAUGCAAGCUAAAGAUAUUGUUAACGGCUGCUGAACAGAAGAAGAUAGAGCUGCUGCAUGUGAGAGCAGAUCAGUCAAGUGCUCAUCAAGGAGAUAGAGAAGAGACUGAGCGUGAGGGAGAACGAGGUUGAAGUGUUCAACAAGUAGAAGUGCAGAAUCGGUAGUGUCGGGAGAAGAAGAAAAGGUAAUUGUAGAUAAGGCAGGCAUAGAAUUGGCUGAGUGUGGUAUCGGUGGAGAGCAGCAUAGCAGCUGAAAAAAGUGAAAAUCGAUAGAGAGAGAGGUGAACCGGUAAAGAAACAGCAGUAGAGAGAGGUGUACCGGUGUAGCAGAGAAGGUGUCUCACUAACAGAAUAAGGUAUAUGAAAUGGUUACAAGAUUCACUUGUAACAUAAUAACUACUUUUGUAUUUGAUGCUAUCAUUGUGAUCACUGAGUUGUAGCUUGGUGCAGGGGUUGUAGCUCCUUUUGGUUGUUGCCCAUAAACAAGUCAGGGGUUGGUGCCCUAAAUCAGGGGUUGGUGCCCUAAAUCAGGGGUUGUAGCUCCUUGGGUUGUAGCCCUAAACAUUGUAACAGAGUUUCAUUGUGAGGCUGGAUUGGAGCAGUAGACUCUAGCAACAUUGGUCACCGAGGUUUUCCCCAUCUUGGGUUUUCUUCGUACAUGCUGGUGUUAUGUGAUGUUCCUUUGUGUGUGAUUGCAUUUGUGUUGGUCUCCCCACUAAGUUAUAUUUUUUGCAUUGAGUUAGAUCUAUGAACCGGUAUACUUUCAUAAGAUAGUAAAAGGGAAAAGAUUGAGAACCACUGAUUCACCCCCCUCUCAGUGGUGCAUUGUGUCUAACAGAGCUUUUAUGUGUAAAUUGAAAAAUCAAAAGGAAUAGAAGAAAAUUGCUCAAGCUUUGAGUCUUUGUGCUACAUUCUUGAGUUUGUGUUCCAUAUUACCUUUCUUGCAACUGUUUCUUUGAGAACUUAAUUGAAUCUGAUUUGCAGUCUUUGAGUUGCAAGUAUUGGAGAUUAACUUAAAUUAGAGUAAAUAUUCUUUUGAAAGGAGCUGUAAGACUUUGUGCUUACACUUGUUCUUAAGAGUGUUUAGAAGUGGAUUUUGUAAGAAAUAGCUGUGAGUCUUUGAGCUCAUACUAGUUCUUAUUGUUUUAUGUAGAAAAGAAUAAGAUAUUUCAAUCUUUGUGCUGCUAUAAUUUGUUCUUGAUAGCAUUAGUAUAGAAAAGGGUAGAUAGGACUUCACAUAUUCAAGACUUUGAGCUUGAUAUCAUUGUCCCGUCUCGAAGGAAGUGAUGGAAGUCUUUGAACUUUCAGGAAACUUCAUUUCCUUUCUCUCAUUUAUUUUGAAGUUGUUACUGCCGUUUAUAUUAAAUUGAUAUCACUUUUCUGUGAAGAAAAAAGGAUAUUGGCUUUCUUGAAGAAAGAAGAAAGACUGCUGUUCCAUCCUAUUUCAGUUUUAGUAUUAGGUAGAUAGGGGGAACCUUCCCUUUAUUAGGAGAGUUUUACUCUCACACUGCGGUUGAAACCACAAUUCUGUAUAUUUUCCCAAGUGUACAAAAUUUUCAACCAACAAAUUUUUAAUGUUCAAUAAAUUUGCUGAUUUAUUGCCGAGUUUUUCUCCAAGUUUUUAAAUUUUUUAGACUCCUCGAGUUAUUGCUGAGUCCAAGUUUUUCAACUAUGGACUAUACUGCUUAUGUGGAAGGCAUGAGACUUGCAGUCUAGGCCACUGCCUAUUUAGGUGAGCUUUGUUACUUUUGGGAGGCGUCUAUGCAGGAAGAACUGAGACCUAGCUGUUUGGUGAUGAUAUGGGUGACUUGGUGGGGUUUCCUUGGUACAGAUCUGAAUAUUCUCAAAAAACACAGUAAUUGUGAACAUAAGUCUAUUGGAAGUGUUUAUGGAGCUUGGGAAGUAAUUUUGUAGCAUAUUUUCAGUCAUAAUCAGUUGUAUGCUGGGUGGUAGUUGUACUAACCCAUUGGGUGGUGUUAUGCAAGGUGUUUUUCAGACGUAUUACUCUCAUUUUGACAGUGCUACCAGCAGAACACUGGUGUUAUGCAAGGUGUUUUUCAGAUGUAUCAGUCUGAUUUUGACAGUGCUACCAGUAGAACAGUGUGUUAUCAAGAUUCAGAUCUGCAUCAGCCUCUUGCAUCCAUUAUAAAAGGAUCAUAUCAGGCGCCAAACAAGGUUCAUUUCUGAAAAACCAGCUAAAGUUAUUCUAGCCAAAUUGGAAUCAGCUGCAGAGUCUAUGGAAUUCAAAGUUCACAUUUGCAACUACAAGAUGCGAAUUGAGGGGCU